CCUACGGGAGGCAGCAGUGGGGAAUAUUGCACAAUGGGGGAAACCCUGAUGCAGCGACGCCGCGUGAGUGAAGAAGUAUCUCGGUAUGUUAAGCUCUAUCAGCAGGGAAGCAAAUGACGGUACCUGUUUAAGAAGCCCCGGGUAACUACGUGCCAGCAGCCGCGGUAAUACGUAGGGGGCAAGCGUUAUCCGGAUUUACUGGGUGUAAAGGGAGCGUAGACGGCAGCAUAAGUCUGGAGUGAAAUGCCGGGGCUUAACCCCGGAACUGCCUUGGAAACUGUGCAGCUAGAGUGCAGGAGAGGUAAGUGGAAUGCGCAGUGUAGCGGUGAAAUGCGUAGAUAUUAGGAGGAACACCAGUGGCGAAGGCGGCUUACUGGACUGUAACUGACGUUGAGGCUCGAAAGCGUGGGGAGCAAACAGGAUUAGAUACCCCUGUAGUC
rnacentral:rRNA from 1 species